UAUCAGAGAAUGGGAGGUAGUUUGCCAUCUCUUCUAUCGACCGACGCCGCUGCUUCGAUCGCGAUCGCGGAGCGGAUGAUCGCGCUCGGAACGCACGAUGGCACCGUCCACAUACUCGAUUUUCAAGGGAAUCAGGUUAAAGAGUUUGCUGCUCAUACUGCUAUGGUCAAUGACCUUAGCUUUGAUGCUGAUGGUGAAUAUAUUGGUAGCUGCUCAGAUGAUGGAACUGUGGUUAUUAGCAGCCUUUUUACUGAUGAAAAGUUGAAAUUUGAGUACUAUCGUCCGAUGAAAACUUUAGCUCUAGACCCAGAUUAUUCACGGAAAUCAUCAAGAAGAUAUGUUGCUGGUGGUUUAGCUGGUCAACUUUUUUUGAAUUCGAAAACCUGGCAUUGGUUAUUCUAAACAGGUAUUACAUGAUGGAGAAGGUCCAAUACAUGCAGUGAAAUGGAGGACCAGUCUUAUUGCUUGGGCAAAUGAUGCAGGGGUAAAAGUUUAUGACAUGGCAAAUAAUGCACGUAUGGCAUUCAUUGAGAGGCCUCGGGGAAGUCCACGUCCUGAACUUCUGCUUCCUCAUUUAGUUUGGCAGGAUGACACAAUGUUGGUCAUUGGUUGGGG